ensembl:lncRNA
CCAGGGAUGGGAUUUUGGGGUGUCUGUGCAGGACCAGGGGUUGGACUGGAUGAUCUUUGCGAGUUCCUUUAAUCUCGGUAUAUUCCAAGAUUUUUCCCCACCCGUAGGAGCAGCAGGAAGGGAUGAGGAACCCUGGGGUGAACAUCCAGCCCUGCCUCAGCUCCCUGCAGGACCCAGACACUCCCAACAUCCUGGAGACACCUGGAUGGGCAGAGGGCUCUGAGUGCCACCAGCCUGCCCAGCCAGGGGCGAGGGGUCCCUUGGGUACAGCCCCACCCAUCCCUGAGGACACCCAAAAUCCCAUCCAGCCAAGGUUUCCCUGCACAUCCCCUUCUCCAGACCUUCCACAUCUGCACAUCUGCAGGUGAUGGGAUGGGAAUCCCUGGAUGGGAGCACCAGGGGUGGAUGGCAGAGCUCCCACACGGCCCUGCUGCCUUCCCUUGGCCAUGAAUAUUUAAAACUCCAGCAGGAUGGAGCAUCCAUCUUCCAGGGAAAGGUGAAUUAUUAACUGCAGGCCAAGUGAAGCCACUUUGUGAUAAUGGAUGGAGGCAGCGCCUGGAAAAAUGUUUCUGUUUCAGGAGAGAGGGAUGGGGAGUGGGGCAGGGUGGGGGCUCAGCUGGGAUGAGACCUGAUGGGAAUCAUGGAUGAGGCCUGGCAGGAGCUGUGGGAUCAGCUCCAGCACCGCUGAACUCGUGGAUUUAUCAAUGGCAGGGCUGAGUGGGUGAUUGGUCAUUAAUAUCAUUAAUUAAUGGCUGGGGUUUUCCCUCCUGGCUCUGGCCAGGCAUUGACCCACGGCCUUGCCCCCACUGCUGGUGCCCAGAGGGGCUCAGCACUGACCCCCAGAUCAGAAGGAUGGAUCUCUGGGAUAAAGCCAUCAGUGUGGGAUGUAUCCCAGCUCCAGAGGGAUGGAGCCAUUGGCAUUCCCAGCUCUGGAUCUGCCCCAUCACAGCCCUGUGUUGAUGUCCAGCACCUCCUCAAGAAGGGGUCAGGGCUGAUCUGCUGCCUUGGGGACCUUUGGGGUGACACUUCCCAAUGCCACCCUCCGCUCUCAGGCUCCAAACCUGCUGCAACCCCUGAGUUUUCCCUUAGGAUGCACUUGACACAGGGAAUGGUUCCCAAACUGCUCCCCGUGCCUCAGUUUCCCCACCAGCAAUCCUGGCUUAAGCUGUGCCUGAACAAACACAAAUCCCUCUGCACCAGGGCUCAGCCAGGCCCAGCCCAGGCCCCUCCACGCUCCAGGUGAGAAACCCCUGUGAGAACCCAGCCCUGCAGGGCCAGGAGAGCACACAGGGCUCCUGUUGCUGCUCCAGCCGCCCAGAGAGCACCAGGCUCUGGUGGGAGCAAAUUAGAUCAGGAGAGCAGAGCGCUAAUGGGAUCAUUUCCAAUGCAACACACACAGGGAUAAUCCACUGCAAAGGAAGCCGAGCGGCUCCUCAGCCCGAAGGGAGGAUUUGCUUUCCCCUGCCCGUGGUUUUACCCCGUAUCUCCCUGCACAAUCUGUUUCUACCCAGAGUGGGUGCUGGGUGGGGGGUUCAGGGGUGCCUGGUGCUGAGAUGAGCUGGGCUGGAGAUUGGGUUUGAGUGCUGGAGAGUGUGGCUGUCACAGCUGAGCUGGCCUUGGCACGGCCACAGCAUCCUUGGCACAGCCACAGCAUCCUCAGUAUCUCCACAGCAUCCUUGGCAUGGCCACAGCAUCCCCAGCACUACCACAGUGCCCUUAGCAUGGCCACAGCAUCCUUGGCAUGGCCACAGCAUCCUCAGUAUGGCCACAGCAUCCUUGGCACAGCCACAACAUCCUCAGAAUCCCCACAGCAUUCUCAGUAUCACCACAGCAUCCUUGGCAUGGCCACAGAAUCCUCAGUAUGGCCACAGCAUCCUCAGUAUGGCCACAGUGCCCUCAGCACCACCAUAAUGCCCUCAGCAUGGUCACAGCAUCACUGAUGCCACCACAAAAUCCUUGGCACAGCCACAGCAUCCUUGGUGCCACCACAGCAUCCUCAGUGUCACCACAGUGCCCUCAGCACAGCCACAGCAUCCUCAGUGUCACCACAGUGCCCUCAGUAUGAUCACAGCAUCAUUGAUGCCACCACAGCAUCCUUGGCAUGGCCGUGGCAUCCUCAGCAUCACCACAGCAUCCUUGGCAUAGCCACAGCACUCCUGAUGCCACCACAGCAUCCUCAGCACUACCACAGUGCCCUCAGCACAGCCACAGCAUCCUUGGUGCCACCACAGCAUCCUCAGCAC